AAAUAAAUAAAACAUAGUACACUAUAAAUGGGAUCAAAUAUUUUUGUUAAGGUUUCCAGGUUCAAGGUGCUGUUUAUAACUGCAUGACCUGUCAGUACGACUCCUGUGAGUUCCCGCUGGAUUGCCCCGGAGAGAACGAUGUUGAUGGAUCGGUUUGACGAGGUCACAGUUGGAGUUGAUCCACUUUACUUCAUCCCCUCUGCCCGGCCUGAGCACUCAGGCACCUACCAGUGUGAAAUAUUCUCUCAGGAGCACUCACUCGUCCGUAUCUACUACUACCUCACAGUAGUCCCUAUGGCACAGAUAGGCCAUGCAGAACUACAGGAUGUCUUUGAACAGGCUCUCCUCCCAGGAGGCCAAUUCCCUCCACUGUCCUCUACAGAUCCAUUCACCUUAUGGCUGCCCAGUCCUGCCCUUGUCACCACCUGUCUGACUGCAAUGCUUCUGCUGGUCUUCCUUAGUCUAGGGGCGCUACAUUGGUUAUCUUAUCAGACUGGGAACAAUGAGUCUGAUCCAGCCCAGGAAACAAAACUCACAGAAAAGAAGAAAUAUUUGAUUCACUGCUAACAAGAGAAAUGCAAUAAAAUAUUAAGGCACAACUUGUUUCACCGGUAAGGCAUUUCUAUUUGAUUUCGG
ensembl:lncRNA